CAGUGGUCGCUGAGUUAGAGCUUAACAGCGUAAGAACCACCGCCUGACACGAACGAAGAGG
rnacentral:sRNA from 1 species